AGAGUUUGAUCAUGGCUCAGAACGAACGCUGGCGGCAUGCCUAACACAUGCAAGUCGAACGAGACCUUCGGGUCUAGUGGCGCACGGGCGCGUAACGCGUGGGAAUCUACCCUUGGGUUCGGAAUAACUCAGAGAAAUUUGAGCUAAUACCGGAUGAUGUCGCAAGACCAAAGAUUUAUCGCCCAAGGAUGAGCCCGCGUAGGAUUAGCUUGUUGGUGAGGUAAAAGCUCACCAAGGCGACGAUCCUUAGCUGGUCUGAGAGGAUGAUCAGCCACACUGGGACUGAGACACGGCCCAGACUCCUACGGGAGGCAGCAGUGGGGAAUAUUGGACAAUGGGCGAAAGCCUGAUCCAGCAAUGCCGCGUGAGUGAUGAAGGCCUUAGGGUUGUAAAGCUCUUUUACCCGGGAUGAUAAUGACAGUACCGGGAGAAUAAGCCCCGGCUAACUCCGUG
rnacentral:rRNA from 1 species